GUUGAACGCUGGCGGCGUGCUUAACACUUGCAAGUCAAAUGACCCUUCGGGUUAUUGGCGGACGGGUGAGUAACGCGUGAAAAUCUGCCCUCAGGAGGGGAAUAACGGCUGGAAGCGGCCGCUAAUACCCCAUAUGCCGCGAGGUGAAAUGAAAUUCGCCGGAGGAUAACCUCGCGUCUGAUUACCUAGUUGGUGGGGAAAGACCCAACCAAGGUUUCGUUCUUUAGCUGGUCUAAGAGGAUGAUCGCCCCCAUUGGGACUGAGACACGGCCAACACUCCUCCGGGAGGCAGCUGUGGGGAAUUUUCCACACUGGCCGAAGGCCUGACGGAGCAACUCCGCGUGAGGGAUGAAGGCCUCUGGCCUGUAUUCCUCUUUUAUCAAGAAAGAAUAUCUGACGGUACUUGAUGAAUAAGCCACGGAUAAUUCCUUGCCAA
rnacentral:rRNA from 1 species